ACAAACUCUCGAUUCUAUGGAACUCAAGAUCGAUAUGUAAAAAAGGAGAUAUACAGCAUAGUUCUGAGUUUUUUCUCUUCCAAGUCUAACAAUUAAGGACUAAGUAAAGGGUGAAAAAAAAACAUCAAGGGAGAAAUAACUAAUCACUAGUGCAUUAAGAGUAAAGCCAAAGGAAGAUGUCUUAUGGAAGACAAGGGAAGAAAGUAUUUUCAAGAAAAACAAAGGUCAAAAUGUAUUGGAUUGCAGCUCUGGAAUCUGAAAAAACGUGGAUCUUGCUUUGCAAUGCUCUAGUUCUAGGAAGUCAGCGAGAACUGGCCUUUGGUUCCAUGACUCCAGACACUAGUCUCCUGUCUCAUCACCACAAUAAAUACUUGGAAUAACUUGAUGGAAGAUGAUAGACCUGUGGGCAGAGCCAGGUCAUCUCCAUUGCCCUAGCCAAGAUGGCUCAAAUAGCUAGUGGCUCCUCUUAGAUGUGAAAAAGUCUAGCCAAAAUUAGUGCAGCAGUAUAGACAGGCUAUAGCUUAUUCCAGAUGCUUGAGCAGGAAACAUUUACUAUUGUGUACCACUGAAGUUUUGGAGUUGUAAUACAGGAUUACCAUGGUAAUAAAUUAUUGAUAUGAGUUGAUACAGCCUAUAAAGCAAAAAUAGUAGCAUUUUCUUUCUUUAUAGUGUGCCAUGAAAAAUAGAGAAGAUGGCCAGACACGGCUCAUGCCUGUAACCCAGCACUUUGGGAAGUAGAGGUGGGUAGAUCACCUGAGGUCAGGAGAUUGAGACUAGCUUGGCCAACAUGGUGAAAUCCCAACUCUAUUCAAAAUACAAAAAUUAGCUGGGCCUGGUGGUUGGCACCUGUAAUCUCAGUUACUUGGGAGGCUUUGGCAGGAGAAUUGCUUGAACCCAGGAGGCAGAGGUUACAGUGACCAGAGAUGGCGUUCUUGCACUCCAGCCUAGCCAACAAGAGUGAAACUCCAACUCAAAAGUAAUAAAUAAAUAAAUAAAUAAAUAAAGAAGACAAUAUAUACGUAGUUGAUCCUUGAAUAGCA
rnacentral:lncRNA from 1 species